UACAGAGGGGGCAAGCGUUAUUCGGAAUUAUUGGGCGUAAAAGGCGCGUAGGCGGCUUGGCAAGUGGAUGGUGAAAUCCCUCGGCUUAACCGAGGAACUGCCGUCCAAACUGCUUCGCUUGAGACCGGGAGAGGUGAGUGGAAUUCCCAGUGUAGCGGUGAAAUGCGUAGAUAUUGGGAGGAACACCAGUGGCGAAGGCGGCUCACUGGACCGGUACUGACGCUGAUGCGCGAAAGCGUGGGGAGCAAACGGG
rnacentral:rRNA from 1 species